CCUGACUGCUAUCGGAUUGAUACUAAGCCAUGCGAGUCAUUGUAGCAAUACAAGGCAUACGGCUCAGUAACGCGUAGUCAAUCUAACCUAUGGACGGGAAUAACCUCGGGAAACUGAGAAUAAUGCCCGAUAGAACACUAUACCUGGAAUGGUUUGUGUUCCAAAUGAUUUAUCGCCAUAGGAUGGGACUGCGGCCUAUCAGUUUGUUGGUGAGGUAAUGGCCCACCAAGACUAUUACAGGUACGGGCUCUGAGAGGAGUAGCCCGGAGAUGGGUACUGAGACACGGACCCAGGCCCUAUGGGGCGCAGCAGGCGAGAAAACUUUGCAAUGUGCGAAAGCACGACAAGGUUAAUCCGAGUGAUUUGUGCUAAACGAAUCUUUUGUUAGUCCUAGAAACACUAACGAAUAAGGGGUGGGCAAGUUCUGGUGUCAGCCGCCGCGGUAAAACCAGCACCUCAAGUGGUCAGGAUGAUUAUUGGGCCUAAAGCAUCCGUAGCCGGCUCUGUAAGUUUUCGGUUAAAUCUGUACGCUUAACGUACAGGCUGCCGGGAAUACUGCAGAGCUAGGGAGUGGGAGAGGUAGACGGUACUCGGUAGGAAGUGGUAAAAUGCUUUGAUCUAUCGAUGACCACCUGUGGCGAAGGCGGUCUACCAGAACACGUCCGACGGUGAGGGAUGAAAGCUGGGGGAGCAAACCGGAUUAGAUACCCGGGUAGUCCCAGCUGUAAACUAUGCAAACUCAGUGAUGCAUUGGCUUGUGGCCAAUGCAGUGCUGCAGGGAAGCCGUUAAGUUUGCCGCCUGGGAAGUACGUACGCAAGUAUGAAACUUAAAGGAAUUGGCGGGGGAGCACCACAAGGGGUGAAGCCUGCGGUUC
rnacentral:rRNA from 1 species